UCUCACGAGGUACNGUCAUCAUCGUCCCCGAACGAAAGUGCUUUACAAUCCGAAGACCGUCUUCACACACGCGGCAUUGCUGGAUCAGGGUUGCCCCCAUUGUGCAAUAUUCCCCACUGCUGCCUCCCGUAGAGGUGAAGAAUGGUGGCCCCCGGAAGGAGAAGGGGAUGAGCAGGAGGGGGAAAGUGAGAGGGAGGAAGGUACGCGCGAAGAGGGGGAAAGGAGGAAGUACGAAGGAAGAAAAGAAUAAAAACGUAGAGAGGGUUGAAGAGGUUUUACGAUGGGUUGGCUAGGCUGUGUGAGGAAAAAGAUUCUUGUUGACAGAUCGCUUCACUUAUUGUUUGUUUUUCUUCAAUUCUUAUCCCCUAAUAUUUUUCGUCUGCUAAAGUAGGUAACCGGGGUGCACGGGAGAGGACAUGUAGGGUGGGGCGUGCGUCAAAUAGGGGUGAGGGGUCGUUUUUGCCAUAGGGCCCAAAUUGCGAAUAAAAAAAGAAUUGUUAAUCAUUCAUUUAUAAUGGGGGUUGGUCGUGUCGGUACUAAGGUUAAUCGGAUAAAAAUCUGUUACUAUUUAGUGAAUCCCUCUUUUCCCGCUUUUAAUUAUCUCCCCUUAUUCCAUUUAGCCUCUUAGCUUUCUCUCUCCUGGCGCCUGGGAAGAAGUAAUAAUCUCUAUUAUUUUCUCCCGCCCGCGGCUACUCCGCCCGGUUUUAUAAUUGAUCCGUCCUAGCCCACUUUUUUUUUUUCUUUUUUCCGGCUUGCCUACAUAUUUCGGACUGUCCCCCCUUUCUUUUCCUUUUCUCGGGUUUAUGGGGAGAGGGUCCAAACACAACUCUCUUUCCGUUUUACCCCCAUUU
rnacentral:rRNA from 1 species